UCAGGAUGAACGCUAGCGACAGGCUUAACACAUGCAAGUCGAGGGGCAGCAUAAAAGUAGCAAUACUUGGUGGCGACCGGCGCACGGGUGAGUAACGCGUAUGCAACCUACCUAUCAGAGGGGAAUAACCCGGCGAAAGUCGGACUAAUACCGCAUAAAACAGGGGCACCGCAUGGUGAUAUUUGUUAAAGAAAUUCGCUGAUAGAUGGGCAUGCGUUCCAUUAGGUAGUUGGUGAGGUAACGGCUCACCAAGCCGACGAUGGAUAGGGGAACUGAGAGGUUGGUCCCCCACACUGGUACUGAGACACGGACCAGACUCCUACGGGAGGCAGCAGUGAGGAAUAUUGGUCAAUGGGCGGGAGCCUGAACCAGCCAAGUCGCCGUGAAGGAAGAAGGAUCUAUGGUUCGUAAACUUCUUUUGCAGGGGAAUAAAGUGCAGGACGUGUCCUGUUUUGUAUGUACCCUGAGAAUAAGGAUCGGCUAACUCCGUGCCAGCCGCCGC
rnacentral:rRNA from 1 species